rnacentral:misc_RNA from 1 species
GAUGAAGAACGCAGCGAAAUGCGAUAAGUAGUGUGAAUUGCAGAAUACAGUGAAUCAUCGAAUCUUUGAACGCACAUUGCGCCCUUUGGUAUUCCAAAGGGCAUGCCUGUUCGAGCGUCAUUUGUACCCUCAAGCUUUGCUUGGUGUUGGGCGUCUUGUCUCUAGCUUUGCUGGAGACUCGCCUUAAAGUAAUUGGCAGCCGGCCUACUGGUUUCGGAGCGCAGCACAAGUCGCACUCUCUAUCAGCAAAGGUCUAGCAUCCAUUAAGCCUUUUUUUCAACUUUUGACCUCGGAUCAGGUAGGGAUACCCGCUGAACUUAAGCAUAUCAAUAAGCGGAGGA